GCUUUUUCAACUGGGAUAGCUCAAAACAAGUUGCAGCCGUUCUGGGCAACUCAUUUGAGAGGAAGCUGGCGAUGCUGAAAGGGAUUUCACCAAAACUGGAGGCACCGGACAGGAGCUUGCGCAGAUCAUCCUCGAGAAGGCCAGGGACAUUGUCAGAGCCGACCACACCGGAGCAGCACCAGCCGGCAGCUAGGAGGACGUUCGGC